rnacentral:rRNA from 1 species
ACGAAGGGGGCUAGCGUUGUUCGGAAUUACUGGGCGUAAAGGGCGCGUAGGCGGUUUGUUAAGUCAGGCGUGAAAGCCCUGGGCUCAACCUGGGAUGUGCGUUUGAUACUGGCAAGCUUGAGUGCAGGAGAGGAUGGUGGAAUUCCCAGUGUAGAGGUGAAAUUCGUAGAUAUUGGGAAGAACACCGGUGGCGAAGGCGGCCAUCUGGACUGCAACUGACGCUGAGGCGCGAAAGCGUGGGGAGCAAACAGGA